GUAGUCUCGCACAGAUGCAUAUCAAUAAGCGGAGGAAAAGAAACUAACAAGGAUUCCCUCAGUAACGGCGAGUGAAGCGGGAAGAGCUCAAAUUUGAAAUCUUGAAAGGUCACCUUUCACGAAUUGUAGUUUAAAGAAGUGUUUUCUGUUACGAUCGUAAUAUAAGUUCUUUGGAAUAGGACAUCACAGAGGGUGAGAAUCCCGUCUAUGACUGCGAUUUGUAGCUUUGUGAUACACUUUCAAAGAGUCGGGUUGUUUGGGAAUGCAGCCCAAAACGGGAGGUAAAUUUCUUCUAAGGCUAAAUAUUGGCGAGAGACCGAUAGCGAACAAGUACCGUGAGGGAAAGAUGAAAAGAACUUUGAAAAGAGAGUUAAAUAGUACGUGAAAUUGUCAAAAGGGAAGCGUUUAACACCAGUGUUGUUUUCUGAAAAUCAACCUCUGUUAGCUUUAUGCAUGUUUGUUUAGACCUAAUCAGCUAUCUUGCAUGUUCUAUUGUUUGCAGUGGUGCACUUUUCAGUUUACAGGUCAACAUCAGUUUUUUUUACCGUAAAAAAGUUAAAGAAAGGUAGCUCAUGGCUCCGGUCGUGAGUGUUAUAGUCUUUUUCCUAUGCGGUAGGAGAGACUGAGGUCUGCAGUGUAGGCUAUUUGGCUAGAUACUCAGGUGCUAUGUGAUACCAUUUCAUAAACAACUUGUUGAUUAUGUUUUGUCUAUUGCAUACUCGCUUGUACUAUCAUACCUACGCUUAGGAUGUUGAGUCGUAGAGCACGCAG
rnacentral:rRNA from 1 species